rnacentral:rRNA from 1 species
AUUGAACGCUGGCGGCAGGCCUAACACAUGCAAGUCGAGCGAGCGGCGGACGGGUGAGUAAUGUAUGGGGACUGCCCGAUAGAGGGGGAUAACUACGGGAAACGGUAGCUAAUACCGCAUACUAUCGGAUAACCCAUAUGGUAUUAGCUAGUAGGUGAGGUAAUGGCUCACCUAGGCGACGAUCCAUAGCUGGUCUGAGAGGAUGAUCAGCCACACUGGGACUGAGACACGGCCCAGCCUCCUACGGAGGCAGCAGUGGGGAAUCUUGCACAAUGGGCGCAAGCCUGAUGCAGCCAUGCCGCGUGUAUGAAGAAGGCCCUCGGGUUGUAAAGUACUUUCAGUCGGGAGGCGUUACCGACCGAAUAAGCACCGGCUAACUACGUGCCAGCAGCCGCGGUAAUUC